rnacentral:rRNA from 1 species
AGUGAACGCUGGCGGUAGGCCUAACACAUGCAAGUCGAACGGCAACACAGUAAGAGCUUGCUCUUACGGGUGGCGAGUGGCGGACGGGUUAGGAAUACAUCGCAAUCUUCUUUUUCGGGGGUGAUAACGUAGGGAAACUUACGCUAAUACCUCAUACGACCUACGGUUGAAAGCAGGGGAUCUUCGGACCUUGCGCGAUUGAAUGAGCCGAUGUCGGAUUGUCUAGUUGGCGGGGUAAAGUCACACCAAGGCGACGAUCCGUAGCUGGUCUGAGAGGAUGAUCGGACCAAGUGGAAAUGAGAACGGGUCCAGACUCCUACGGGAGGCAGCAGUGGGGAAUAUUGGACAAGGGGCGCAAGCAUGAUCCAGCCAUACCGGGUAGGUGAAGAAGGCCUUCGGGUUGUAAAGCACUUUUGUUGGGAAAGAAAAGCAGCAGGUUAAGACCCCGCUGUUCUGACGGUACUAAAAGAAGAAGCACCGGUGAAUUCCGU